rnacentral:lncRNA from 1 species
UGGUUACAUUCAAGAAGAAGAAGAAGAAGGAAAAAUUACUGUUCCAUUGAAUGAAUAAUAAUGAGUUACAAUGAUGUUUAUAUAUACAAGAAGAAGGAGUAUUGUAAGCUAAUGUGGAAAUAUUGUACAUAAUAAUCUGUUAACUCUAAUAACCCCUCAAGGUGGACUUUGGAUACUACAAAGGCCAAGCUUGGAUAGAAGAGAAUUGAAAAGUGGAGAAUGUAAAGGCUUAGUGAACACAUCUG